rnacentral:rRNA from 1 species
CGCGGGAUUGGGGGGACGGGGUGCAGCAGGCGCGAAAACUUUACAAUGCGGGCAACCGUGAUAAGGAAACCCCGAGUGCCAGCAUAGGCUGGCUGUCCACCAGUGUAAACAGCUGGUGAAGAAAGGGCCGGGCAAGACCGGUGCCAGCCGCCGCGGUAAUACCGGCGGCUCGAGUGGUGGCCGCUAUUACUGGGCUUAAAGGGUCCGUAGCUUGAUAUGCAAGUCCCUUGAGAAAUCCGCCAGCUUAACUGGGGGGCGUUCAGGGGAAACUGCGUUUCUAGGGACCGGGAGAGGUGAGAGGUACUGCCGGGGUAGGAGUGAAAUCCUGUAAUCCCGGUGGGACCACCUAUGGCGAAGGCAUCUCACCAGAACGGGUCCGACAGUGAGGGACGAAAGCUGGGGGAGCAAACCGGAUUAGAUACCCGGGUAGUCCCAGCUGUAAACGAUGCGCGUUAGGUGUGUCAGUGACCACGUGUCACUGAGGUGCCGAAGGGAAACCGUGAAACGCGCCGCCUGGGGAGUACGGUCGCAAGGCUGAAACUUAAAGGAAUUGGCGGGGGAGCACCACAACGGGUGGAGCCUGCGGUUUAAUCGGACUCAACGCCGGAAAUCUCACCGGAUAAGACAGCUGAAUGAUAGUCGGGAUGAAGACUCUACUUGACUAGCUGAGAGGAGGUGCAUGGCCGUCGUCAGUUCGUACUGUGAAGCAUCCUGUUUAGUCAGGCAACGAGCGAGACCCAGGCCAACAGUUGCCAGCUUGACCUUCGGGUUGAUGGGGACACUGUUGGGACCGCCUCUGCUAAAGGGGAGGAAGGAAUGGGCAACGGUAGGUCAGCAUGCCCCGAAUUAUCCGGGCUACACGCGGGCUACAAUGGAUAGGACAAUGGGUUUCGACACCGAGAGGUGAGGAUAAUCUCCUAAACCUGUCCGAAGUUCGGAUUGCGGGUUGUAACUCACCCGCAUGAAGCUGGAAUCCGUAGUAAUCGCGUUUCAACAUAGCGCGGUGAAUAUGUCCCUUCUCCUUGCACGAGUUCGCCGAAUCACUAGU